rnacentral:lncRNA from 1 species
AUUCCCCUCACGUGUGGCCUUAAAGAGUUCUAUAUUCUUUUGCUAAGUCAGACUUGGCUUUUACCAGUUUGUUAGCGAUUUCAGCUAAAAUUUUCUUACUCGUAUCUGACAGUGUCUGCCUCAGGGUACUGGAAAUCUUUGGGUAAGAAAAAUAAAAAAGACCACAAAAUAUCCAGAGGAAUGCAAUCAAGAUUCUUAAGAGCUUGAAAAACCUAUCCUAUGAUGAAGAAUUGAGAGAAACUGAGUUGUUCAGCCUGGAACUGGGAAAACAUGAGGAUGAGAUAAGGCAAAGAUAGAUAUCUUCAAAUAUUUGAUAAUUGCUAUGUGGGAAGAGCUCUGUCCAGUUGCUCCAAGCUUUACUGGUUGCACUCUAGGUCUGCUGCACAUCUACACGGAUAUCACCUGGAGAGAUCACUUAUUCUGGAGAACCCCAGAUGCUCAGUCAUGAAGACACUUAUCCAGAGUCCUGUGUGGUGAGGAACUGAGGCGUUCAUCCAGUGAGGAAUUGAGGAUUCCUACUAACAGCCAUGUGAGUGAACUUGAAAGUGAGUGAAUCCUCCAACUUCUCAAUCAGUCCUUCAGAUGACUGCAGUCCUGGCUGACAUCUUGCCUGUAACCUCAUGAAAGACCUUGAGCUACACUCGCCCAGCUAAGCUUCUCCAAAAUUCCUGAGUCAAAGAAACUGUAAGAUAAUAAAUGUUUGUUAUUUUAAGCCACCAAGUUUGCAGUUAACUUGUUAUGCAAAAAUGCAUAACUUAUACAAAUAAGGAAGUUAAUCCUAGACAUCUCAGGUAUAUGAAUUUAUUAAAAACAGGAAGAAAGAACUUGAAUUA